AUCGCUGAUGGAACGCUUGCGGAGUGCAGUGGAGUUGGUGUCUGAGGAGGCCUUAGAAGAUCGGUUGAACAGACCUCGGAUCCCUCGCAGCUGUUGGCCCUGAAGAGCAGGAGAGAAACAACAGAAGAGGUCUAUAUUAUAUAAUAAAAGACCUCAUCACACACCGGGCAUCAGGCUGCUGAAGGCAACGGUCCGCUGACCAAUAAAAUCCCGUCCGAUAGGGUCAUGAUCCCAGACCAGGAAACGGACCAGAGCCACCUCAGCCAUGUGGAGAGUGAAGGACAGGGUCUCCUCCCAGACUGGGUUAAAGCCUUAGAACCAACAAACACAUCAGUCCACAGGAAGUCCAAUGAUCUCCACCUCCACAAAAGGAUCAAUGAUCUGAUGAAGAUGAAAACAAGAAUGUACAAUUUAUCAUUUCAUCACCCGUCUCUUCCAAUACAAAGACUGUGAGAACAGUAAACAAAUGAUGUGGUUAAACGCUGGAACUAACAGUGUCUGUGAUGGAGAUGGAAGACUAACAAAUACUGUGCCACAAGGGGGCGACUUCCUAUUAAAAGUUCUUUA